AACGAACGCUGGCGGCAGGCUUAACACAUGCAAGUCGAGCGCCCCGCAAGGGGAGCGGCAGACGGGUGAGUAACGCGUGGGAAUCUACCGUACCCUACGGAAUAGCUCCGGGAAACUGAAAUUAAUACCGUAUACGCCCUACGGGGGAAAGAUUUAUCGGGGUAUGAUGAGCCCGCGUUGGAUUAGCUAGUUGGUGGGGUAAAGGCCUACCAAGGCGACGAUCCAUAGCUGGUCUGAGAGGAUGAUCAGCCACAUUGGGACUGAGACACGGCCAAAACUCCUACGGGAGGCAGCAGUGGGGAAUAUUGGACAAUGGGCGCAAGCCUGAUCCAGCCAUGCCGCGUGAGUGAUGAAGGCCUUAGGGUUGUAAAGCUCUUUCAGCUGGGACGAAGCGAAAGUGACGGUACCCGCAGAAGAAGCACCGGCUAACUACGUGCCAGCAGCCGCCGUAAGAC
rnacentral:rRNA from 1 species